rnacentral:rRNA from 1 species
GGCGGCGUGCCUAAUACAUGCAAGUCGAGCGCAGGAAACAAGUAGAUCCCGUUCGGGGUGACGCUUGUGGAAUGAGCGGCGGACGGGUGAGUAACACGUGGGCAACCUACCUUGUAGACUGGGAUAACUCCGGGAAACCGGAGCUAAUACGGGAUGAUCAUUCGAAUCGCAUGAUUGAAAUGUAAAAGUGGGGAGUAAUCCUCACACUAUGAGAUGGGCCCGCGGCGCAUUAGCUAGUUGGUAAGGUAAUGGCUUACCAAGGCAACGAUGCGUAGCCGACCUGAGAGGGUGAUCGGCCACACUGGAACUGAGACACGGUCCAGACUCCUACGGGAGGCAGCAGUAGGGAAUCAUCCGCAAUGGGCGAAAGCCUGACGGUGCAACGCCGCGUGAACGAUGAAGGUUUUCGGAUCGUAAAGUUCUGUUAUGAGGGAAGAACAAGUGCCGUUCGAAUAGGGCGGCACCUUGACGGUACCUCACGAGAAAGCCCCGGCUAACUACGUG